rnacentral:misc_RNA from 1 species
GAAAUGCGAUAAGUAAUGUGAAUUGCAGAAUUCAGUGAAUCAUCGAAUCUUUGAACGCACAUUGCGCCCCGUGGUAUUCCGCGGGGCAUGCCUGUUCGAGCGUCAUUUAAACCAAUCCAGCUUGCUGGGUCUUGGGCCUACGCCUCCGGGCGGGCCUCAAAAUCAGUGGCGGCGCCAUCCGGCUCUAAGCGUAGUAAUACUUCUCGCUACAGGGUCCCGGGUGGAGGCUUGCCAACAACCCCCAAUUUUCAAAGGUUGACCUCGGAUCAGGUAGGGAUACCCGCUGAACUUAA